UUUAAAAUAUGUCCACAAAUUCUUAGAUAGCCUCUUUAAAAGGUAAAACCUAAUCCCACUCUCCCAUCCCUGGUUGAGUGUAGGUUAAACUUAGCUACUUACUUCUAAUGUUCAGAAUGAGCUGGAGGCAAUGGUUUGUGAAUUCUAUAUCAGACACACAAAAAGCAUGUGGCUUCCUACUUACCCUCGACCUGCAAGGAGAAACCAGUUUCAUGUCAAUACUUAGCCAGCCCCUAUGAAGAAGCCUACACGGUAAAGAGCUGAGUCCUCUUGCCAACAGCCAGCAAGAAACAUAAAGGUGGGACAUCUUCGAAGCAGAUUUCUUAUCCUCAGUUAAGCCAACAGAUGGCUGCAGCCCCAGCAGAUAUUUCAACUGCAACCUCUUUGAAGUCUGUAAGUCAGAAAUACCUAAAAUACCAGAUCCCACACUGAACUCAAGGGAACUUUCAAGAAUAUGCACAGGGGCUAAAGCAGGAGAGACCAGUGGAAGGUAAACCCAGCCCAACUGAACGAGUUUUAUAAUGCUGAUUUUUGAAGAUUACAACAGUGAGGCUUGGAGAAGUGAAGUAAUUAGCCCAGAAGUCCAUGCUGUUGCUACUAAAACAAGCUGCCCGUGGUAGGUACAAAGUGCUCUUAAGGAAGACCUGUUCUGGUGAGCUGCCAUGAGGGAAGUGAAAGGCACACUCCAGGAAGACAACUUAUACUUCUUUUAUUCAAUUUAUUACUAAGAAACUAUUUCAUGCUAUUGUGAGUAAAAUUAUUUUCUUAAUUUUCAGAUCAUUUGUUGAUAUCAUAAAUGCAAUUCAUUUUUGAAUACUGAUCUUAUAUCCUGAGACUUUGCAAAAGAUUCUGUUAAUGUGAGAAGUUUUGUAUGUGUGCAUUCCUUAGAAAUUUCUACAUACAAGGCCAUACCAUCUGCAAAUAUAGGCAGUUUUACGUCUUUCUUUACAGUCACUAUUCUGUUUGUUUCUUUUUCUUGCACAGACUAAAAACUCCAAUAAAAUUUUUGAAUAGAAAUGUGGGUAUCUUUCUCUGUUCCCAACCACAGGGUGAGACCAUUCAGCCUUUCACCAAUAUGAAUAACGUUAGCUAUAAUUUUGGGGCAGAUGGUUUUUAUUACUUGAGAAUGUUCCUCUCUAUUUUUAUUGUCAUUGAGAGUUUCUAUCAUGAAUAGAGAUUGAAUAUUGUCACAUGAUGUUUCUGGACCUUGGUGCUAUGUGAUGAGACUGCAUCUUACUUAAACUUUGGCAGUAGCUGACUUCCUCUGAGACCACCGCAGUAGGGGAAGAGGAUACAUCAUCUCAUGGUUUCCAGGUUUCUCACUCUGUCUCUGUUGACUCCCAGGUUGGGUGGGGUGGGGGAGACUCCUUGUUACUGCUGGGUGGGGAUGGGAUUUUCCGUUUCCCUCUAGGCCUCACCUGGCACUUCCUCUGCUGGGAAGGGUGGCAGUGCCAUGUGGGUGCUCCCCUAUGGCCUCCAGUGCCACAAUGGAAGGAGAGGCCUGGCCCCUAGCCACACUCUCUGUACCACCCUGGUGGGGUUGGCGUGCUUUGUUACAGUCCCAGAAAGUCUUGACUUCUGGGGCUGUGAUGUUUGACUGGAUUCGAGCAGUUACUGUAUAACGUUUUCUGUUGUGUUAGGACGUCUCUUUCCAGAUUCUUUUAUUGGCAGAAGAGAAUUUUUCUGGCUUUGAAGAGGCUUUUAAAAAUCAAUUAACUUAUUUUCACCACGCUCACUGACAUCUCAAGGUUGCCAGCUGCUUCAGCCCCAACUUGGCAUAAAAAAGGCAAAAGAAAAGUCAAGGAACUCACCUUGUGCUGUUUCUCAAGAUCUCCUGCCAGCCUGCCUUCUCUUCCUCACCUUUUGCAAUUGUCUCAUGUUUGUUUUACAGAUGAUGUUCAGGGAUUUUAGUUAUACUUAGUGGGAAGAGUAAAGAAAAGUACAAAUUUUAAAAAGUACAUCUACUUCCUGUUUAAGCUUUUCUAAUUAUGAAACGAUUAUUUUAUCCUAGUAAGAUUUCUGGUCUUAAAGGUAUAUUUUGUGAUACUAAUUUAAAGUGCUAGGUCGGUUACGGUUACAGUAAAGUUUAAGCUACUUUUUGUUUCAUUUUCUUAAUGGUUGUUCAAGGGGUUAUCAUAUAUAUCUUAGAUUAUUAUAAUCUAUUUCAGAUAAUUACUUUAUUUUGGUAAAAUGUAGCAGGUUUGCUCCCAUAUGGUUUUAUUUUCUACCCUUUCCUGUGUCCAAUUAUCAUCAUUUAUAUCAUAUAAAUAAUUGUUAUAAACCAGCAAAUACUCUUAA